rnacentral:misc_RNA from 1 species
GAAAUUAAUCAUUAAAAGACAAGGGCAAUAACAAUACAAACCAAGGGGAGGGAGAAAGACAAUUAUUGCACAAUAGUAUUAAGGUACCCUGUAUGCUCCACUAAAACCUUCUCAAUGAUCCAGUAUUUUGGAAAAAACAGCUCAACAAUACAAUAUGCGCAAUUAGUUUUUUACAACCGCCAUAAUGCUUGUUCAAAAAUUUGGAUUCAAACAAAAACAUGUGACCAUCUUUACUUACUCCAUUAUGCCAGGACCUGAGUUUUCCACAUCAACAUCUCCCAUCCCUGUAUCUUCUUCUUCUUCACUAUCCUCAUCACCACUAACCUCCUCAUUGUCAUUUCGUAGUUUAGCCAUGUGCUCCGCAAGCAAUUUAUCAUCUCGUUCACUCACAGCUCUCGGUGGCUCCUUCACAACGAGCUUCCCCUUAUGCUGCUCUAUUGCCUCGGUGCAAGCAGCAAUUGCCUUGUUAAGAACUGAUAUGCCUUGCUCCUAAUAAACAAUAGCAACAACAACACUUCGUCAGAAACAUUGGCACGGCAAGCCACUUGCAAUAUCCCAUAACUGCAGGAAAGUGGAUAGCUAACAGCUUCAAUACUUCAAAUUUCGUAAGCAAACACAGUACAAGCAUUAAACAGAAUCGAGCAAAGAUAAACAGGAUUAUCAUCAAGGAACAGUGGCUGAGUUGACAUCUGCCUUCAAUGAAGAGAUACAGAAAACAGAUAACAGUUCAUAUCAAUUAGAAGAUAGAAAGACUAGUUAAUAAGAGUUCUUUUAAUUCUUGCUACAGGAUGUCAGGCUAAUUAACCUGGCCAGUGGCCCAGUGCUAACUAGCAUACAUAGCAAUUUACUUUUAAAUAGGAAAAAACUAUUUCAUGACCUAGGCAGAUUUGAAAACAGAAAAUUAACUAUUAAAAAAUGUGAGGCAAAGAAGUUAUUUGACUGUCCUUGACAGCCUAGCUAAUUGCAUCACGCCUUCAGCAGAAUCAAAAUAACAUUAUAUGUGGUGAUAGCGCAAGGGAUGCAAAGUAUACAUAACCAGCACAUCUGCAUAAACAGAGUAUGCUAUAGAAAAAGAACUACAGUUAGUUUGACCGUGUGUCAUAAGAGAUCAUAUUGGAACUGCCAGGCAUUUGCUGGCACUCCACUCUUAAAGCCAAGUAAUGACUGCAGAUAACAAAAAGUUAGGCAAUAAUAUAAUAUUUCUGAUUCCAGCAUGUGCCAGUACAGGAUUUUAUACUUUCACUGGAUCUCCACCUAUGUUACUUAAUUGAAUUAAAUAUUUAACCACGUUAAUGACACUUGCAUAGGCUAAAGAAGACAUAUGCACAAAGCAUGGCCAAUCUAAUAAAAACUCAACAUUUUAUAAGUAAAGAAGGCUUUCUAUUUUUCAACAAGCAACAAUCUAACCUUGUCUAGGGUUUGAGUGGUAAGGACAUAAAGUGGAGGAGCAACCAGUUUAAUUUUCACAGGACAAUCUUUAUUGCCUGCAGCUUCGGCUUUCCUCAUUGCAUCCUUAAUGUGAAGAACCCCAUCAAACUGGAAACAUUUCAUUUCAAUAUCAGCCCGAAUCUUCAGUGGUUGUGGGGUCAUUCUUCUCCUAAUAUUCUUCACCAAAGCUUCUUUGACUUCCUCUGACACAGCAGGCACUACCUUGGUUACCUCCUGUCCAUCAGGGCCAAUUUCUUUAACCUCACGGGUGAGAGAAUUCAAAACUGAAUCAGGAUCAGUUACAAUGAUUUUGAAUGCCUCAAAAGCAUGACCAUAUUUCCGGUACAAAGGCCAUCCAAUAUGGAUGUACAAUUCCUGAGAUAAGUAACUAAGUUGGUUAAACAUAUAAUUGAAAGAAUUCGAAUACUUGAUCAUGAGAGACACAUAUCUCUGGCAUUGAUGAGAUGACAGGAUCUCAGGGAAGAAGUGUGUAUGAUUCCAACAAAAAAAAGGACAACAUUCAACUAAUCAAACAUGCAUAACGCAUGCAAAAGCUAUAUAAUUGUUUAGCAUUUUAAUACCUGUACAGUAAGCUUUAAUUAGACAUAUGGCUAGUACCUUAAGAAAUCCAAAGGAAAUGUUUUAGAUGACAUAUAAGCUCUUGGCUAGAAUACGAACGAACAUAUAUACUUGUUCUUCCUCUGUUUAAUGAAGGAUUUCAAUACAAUGUGUUAAAUGAUAGGGUAAAAUUGUAAUUGACAUGCUCUUCAGAGAUUUUAUUUUAUACUUGGCUUUUUUUACCCAUUAAACUAAAAUACAAAUAGCAAUUACCUUUGUUGCAUGAAAUGUUCCUAAGUUUUUUUUGUAACAAUUAAAAAAUUGCAACAGUUACCCUAGUAUGAUCAUAAUUAUUCAAACUCAUAAUAUGCAAAACUGCAAAAGCCACAUGACAGUACUGAGAAACAAUCACUAAAUUCAUACUGUCUUAAUACAAAAGGAAUGAAGGGAGAGAAAGUUUAAUUUUUUUUUUUAAUGGAAUUAUAAUCUAGCAAUGAAGUUGCUGCCAAUGAGCAUGUUGUGAAUGAAGAUAAAUGGAAAUGAAUUGUAAAAGCACAUGAGCGCGCGCGUGCGCGCGCGUCUAUAUCUAUACGAGAGUUGUUAGAGGCAGUAGCAUUUUUCAUUAGAUUCUCUAGUUGAGCUAGAAGGUGGAGCUUCGCAAAAACAAAUGCAUCAGUUGUAACAUAUCAUCAAAUGAUGAAAAUCCAGAAAUUAUCCCUCUCUUCUCUCCUCUCUCAGUAAAUCCUUCCCUUUCUUCUAAAAAUUCUUCCCUACUUUCCUCUAUGGUCUUGUUAAUCAAUUGGGCCUUAACUUGCAACUGAGCUUAAUGAGUUUAGGUCCCAACAUCGUGGUAUCAAAGCAGGCAGUUCUAGAGGAGACUAUUGCUUCCAUAGCAAUAGCACGAAAAUGCAAGAAUGCUCUAACUAAUGUAUGAAAUCAAUGGAUUAGAGGAUGCAAGAUCUCAUGACAGAUAUCGAAGAGAAUCUCAGAAAGCAUGCUUAAAAAUGGAAGAUAUGAAGCUUGAGAAUCAGCAACAGAGAGAUCAGAAUCAGAAGAGAACUGAAUAGAAACUGGAGCAAUUGAUGGAGAUUAUACAUGUCACAGGUAAGAGCCGAUCAACCCGUACAAUUCCUGUGAUUAAUCUCA